UCGGGAAUUUUGGGCAAUGGGCGAAAGCCUGACCCAGCAACGCCGCGUGAAGGAUGAAGUAUUUCGGUAUGUAAACUUCGUAAGAAUAGGAAGAAUAAAUGACGGUACUAUUUGUAAGGUCCGGCUAACUACGUGCCAGCAGCCGCGGUAAUACGUAGGGACCAAGCGUUGUUCGGAUUUACUGGGCGUAAAGGGCGCGUAGGCGGUGUGUCAAGUCAGUUGUGAAAUCUCCGAGCUUAACUCGGAACGGUCAACUGAUACUGUCACACUAGAGUACAGAAGGGGCAAUCGGAAUUCUUGGUGUAGCGGUGAAAUGCGUAGAUAUCAAGAGGAACACCUGAGGUGAAGACGGGUUGCUGGGCUGACACUGACGCUGAGGCGCGAAAGCCAGGGGAGCAAACGGGAUUAGAUACCCCAGUAGUCCCUGAGCGGGCUGGCAAGGCGCAU
rnacentral:rRNA from 1 species